GAUGAACGCUGGCGGCGUGCUUAACACAUGCAAGUCGAACGAUGAAGCCCAGCUUGCUGGGUGGAUUAGUGGCGAACGGGUGAGUAACACGUGAGUAACCUGCCCUUAACUCUUGGAUAAGCCUGGGAGACUGGGUCUAAUACCGGAUAGGAGCGUCCACCGCAUGGUGGGUGUUGGGAAGAUUUAUCGGUUUUGGAUGGACUCGCGGCCUAUCAGCUUGUUGGUGAGGUAAUGGCUCACCAAGGCGACGACGGGUAGCCGGCCUGAGAGGGUGACCGGCCACACUGGGACUGAGACACGGCCCAGACUCCUACGGGAGGCAGCAGUGGGGAAUAUUGCACAAUGGGCGCAAGCCUGAUGCAGCGACGCCGCGUGAGGGAUGACGGCCUUCGGGUUGUAAACCUCUUUCAGUAGGGAAGAAGCGAAAGUGACGGUACCUGCAGAAGAAGCACCGGCUAACUACGUG
rnacentral:rRNA from 1 species